UACGUAGAGGGCAAGCGUUGUCCGGAAUCAUUGGGCGUAAAGAGCGUGUAGGCGGCCCGGUAAGUCCGCUGUGAAAGUCCAGGGCUCAACCCUGGGAUGCCGGUGGAUACUGUCGGGCUCGAGUCCGGAAGAGGAGUGUGGAAUUCCUGGUGUAGCGGUGAAAUGCGCAGAUAUCAGGAGGAACACCAAUGGCGAAGGCAGCACUCUGGGACGUGACUGACGGCUGAGACGCGAAAGCGUGGGGAGCAAACAGGAU
rnacentral:rRNA from 1 species